rnacentral:rRNA from 1 species
UAUGGAGGAGGCAAGCGUUAUCCGGAAUUAUUGGGCGUAAAGCGUCCGUAGGUGGCUCUUCAAGUCUGCUGUCAAAGAGUGGGGCUUAACCCUGCAAAGGCAGUGGAAACUGAAAGGCUAGAGAGCCGUAGGGGUAGAGGGAAUUCCCGGUGUAGCGGUGAAAUGCGUAGAGAUCGGCAGGAAGACCAAGGGGGAAGCCAGUCACCUGGGCCCGCGCUGACACUCAUGGACGACCGCGUGGGGAGCGAACCGG